AUUUACUUCAUAAGCUGAAGCAGAGAGUGUUUGACAAAGACCUUAUUGGUUUAAGUAACGAGUGCCACAAUAACUAGUGCUUCCAAACAAGGAGUUGUUUUCCAACUCUUGUUUUGAUUUUUAUCUAAUUUUUUUUUAAAUCCUGUAUUAGUAUUUGUGUAUUGGCUAAAUUUGAAGUUUUGCAUUACAGUUCAUAUUGUCUGCCUGAAUGGUAGCUCUGAAUUCCUAAUUUAGAUCUACGGAUUUUUAUUAUUACAUAACUCACUUUU
rnacentral:lncRNA from 10 species